rnacentral:tRNA from 1 species
UCCCUGGCGGUUCAGUGGCUAAGACUCUGCAUUCCCAAUGCAAGGAGUCCAGGUUCAAUUCCUGGUCAGGGAA